rnacentral:rRNA from 1 species
CUUCGGCCCCCCAGUAAAGCGGCGGACGGGUGAGUAACACGUGGGUAAUGUACCCUUCAGCGGGGGAUAACAGUCCGAAAGGAUUGCUAAUACCGCAUACGUCGGCGAGGUCUUCGGAUCUUGUCGGGAAAGGUGGCCUCUCCAUGGAAGCUACCACUGAAGGAUCAGCCCGCGUCCCAUCAGCUAGUUGGCGGGGUAAUGGCCCACCAAGGCGAAGACGGGUAGCUGGUCUGAGAGGAUGAUCAGCCACACUGGAACUGAGACACGGUCCAGACUCCUACGGGAGGCAGCAGUGGGGAAUAUUGGGCAAUGGGCGCAAGCCUGACCCAGCCAUGCCGCGUGAGUGAUGAAGGCCUUCGGG